UGUAACAAGGUUUCCGUAGGUGAACCUGCGGAAGGAUCAUUA
rnacentral:rRNA from 23 species